rnacentral:rRNA from 1 species
GACGAACGCUGGCGGCGUGCUUAACACAUGCAAGUCGAACGGAAAGGCCCUGCUUUUGUGGGGUGCUCGAGUGGCGAACGGGUGAGUAACACGUGAGUAACCUGCCCUUGACUUUGGGAUAACUUCAGGAAACUGGGGCUAAUACCGGAUAGGAGCUCCUGCUGCAUGGGGGGGGUUGGAAAGUUUCGGCGGUUGGGGAUGGACUCGCGGCUUAUCAGCUUGUUGGUGGGGUAGUGGCUUACCAAGGCUUUGACGGGUAGCCGGCCUGAGAGGGUGACCGGGCACAUUGGGCCUGAGAUACGGACCAGACUCCUACGGGAGGCAGCAGUGGGGAACAUUGCGCAAUGGGCGGAAGCCUGAUGCAGCAACGCCGCGUGCGGGAUGACGGCCUUCGGGUUGUAAACCGCUUUCGCCUGUGACGAAGCGUGAGUGACGGUAAUGGGUAAAGAAGCACCGGCUAACUACGUG